rnacentral:rRNA from 1 species
ACCACCAAGCUAGCUCAAAUACCAAACUUCCUAACACUAAAUCUAAAACAUUUAUCAACAUAGUAUUGGCGAUAGAAAUCUAAACACGAAGCAAUAGAGAAAGUACCGCAAGGGAAAGCUGAAAAAGAACUUAAAUAAACCAUAAAAGUAAAAAAAAGCAAGGAUUAACCCCUGUACCUUUUGCAUCAUGGUCUAGCAAGCAAAACAAGGCAAAAAGACCUUCAGUCUUUCCCCCCGAAACUAAAUGAGCUAUUUAAGAGCAGCUAUAUGAGCGAACCCAUUUAUGUGGCAAAAUAAUGGGAAGACUUUUAAAUAGAGGUGACAAACCUAGCGAAUAUAGUGAUAGCUGGUUACUCAAUAAACAAGUCUAAGCUUCACCUUAAACCUUAUCAAAAUAUUAAAAAUACAGAUUAAAGUUCAAGAGUUAUUCAUAAGAGGUACAGCUCUUAUGAAAAAGGAAACACCUAUAAACAGGGUAAUGAUUAUAAUAUACUCAUAUCACACAGUAGGCUUAAAAGCAGCCAUCUCAAGAAAGCGUCAUAGCUCACAUACAACUAAAUUUUAAUAAAAAUACCAAAACCCACAAUACGCAUUGAGUUAAACCAUACAAAUGGUUGAAUUAAUGCUAGAAUUAGUAAUAAGAAAACAUGAUUUUCUCUAUGCGAACCAAUAAAUCAGAUCGAACUAGUCACUGAUAGUAACCGACCCUACUUAAUGGAAAUAAACACUAACAAUAAACAAGAAAAAUAUUAAAUAUUAACUCGUUAACCCCACACAGGAUCGCAAUAAGAAAGAUAAAAAGACAAAGAAGGAAUUCGGCAAACAUAAACCUCGCCUGUUUACCAAAAACAUCGCCUCUAGCAAAACCAGUAUUAGAGGUACUGCCUGCCCAGUGAUAAAUUUAACGGCCGCGGUAUUUUGACCGUGCAAAGGUAGCAUAAUCACUUGUCUUCUAAAUAAAGACUAGUAUGAACGGCAAAACGAAGGUUUAACUGUCUCCUUUGUCCACUCAAUGAAAUUGAUCUCACAGUACAAAAGCUGUGAUUCAACAACAAGACGAGAAGACCCUAUGGAGCUUAAAACUUACUAAAAAUUGUAAUAAAUUUAUUAAUUUAAUACACUAAUUUUAUACUGUUUUUGGUUGGGGCGACCACGGAGAAUACAUAUCCUCCGAGAUGAUACAUCAGGAAACAAUCCAAAACUUCAGAAAACUGACAUAAUUGACCCAAUAACUUUGACCAACGAACCAAGUUACCCUAGGGAUAACAGCGCAAUCCUCUUCAAGAGCCCAUAUCGACAAGAGGGCUUACGACCUCGAUGUUGGAUCAGGAUAACCUGACAGUGCAACCGCUGUCAAAGGUUUGUUUGUUCAACAAUUAAAAUCCUACGUGAUCUGAGUUCAGACCGGAGCAAUCCAGGUCAGUUUCUAUCUGUUACAUAAUUUUUUCUAGUACGAAAGGACCGAAAAAACAUGGCCAAUGCAACAUGCAUGCCAUCAUGAAACUAAUGAAAUAAACUAAAUAAUAAAUAAAACAUACCUCAAAAUAAGAGGCU